UGCUAAUGCUGAUUUUUGUGAUAAUAAGUGGUAAAUUUGAAAAGGCUGCCCAGGGAAAUGGUGAAGUCACUAUCCCUGGAAGUGUUCAAAAAAACCAAGUAGACAUGGCACUUUGAGAUAUGGUUUAGUUGACACUAUGGUAUUCGGUUAAAGGUUGGACUUGAUGAUUUUGGAUGUUUUUUCCUGCCUUAAUGAUUCUGUGAUUUUAUGUUCUGUAAUAAAGUAGGGAAAUUUAGAGGAUAAAGUCUCAAUAUCCUUAUGAAUUACAGAAUCCUUAAAACUCAUGUUUGUGAUCUCCAUACAUCCACAGGUUGGGAAGCCCUUCAGGUAUGACAAGAAGAGGAGAAAAGUCAAUUUCCUCAAAGAGCUCUGAGCCAGAUGUAUGGAUGUGCUUGCAAGGUUGGCAUUGGUGAUGCGGCAGCACCGCAGCCAAGAUGGAGAUGCCAGAGCAGAGCUGUUGCCACAGUGCAUUUCAGGAGACACCGUCAUCCAACGGCUU
rnacentral:lncRNA from 12 species